rnacentral:lncRNA from 1 species
GGGGAAGGAAACUAGGAUCAACGGAUAAAGUGUGGCGCUAACAUCUAAAGAUUUUUCCUUCUUAGAAAGAGCAAGGAAUGCAAUUCCCAGGUUUGAACAAGGUGUCUGAACUAGCAGCACAAGUUCUUUUCCAUUAUACACAUCAACCAAGAAGAGGUUUACUGGGAAAUUCCCAUAACUGCUCUUUCUUAAGACGUGGAGACUGAAGCCAUCUUUUAUGGAUAAAAUCGUAUCCAUACAAGCAGAGUUCGUGAGUGAACCAAUACAGUGUUGAGUCCAUUAUCACAGCAGGUACACUCAUAGCCACAGCACACAAUAUAUCAAUACUGAAAAUACCGUCACAUAGCUGCUGCCGAUUAAUGAGGACAAACUGGGGAUGAUUUUGAAGGCUGCACGUAUCAUCAGACACAUUGUAAAAUAGAAACAUGCCCGUGUGAAACGAGUUAAAUACAACUUGUUUUACUUUGCCUUCCUCGUCCCUGAGGAGAGCUCUAUGAAAACAGAUAAAGUCAUCAAUGAAAUUCCGGAGAUUGAAAGCCUAGCGAUGCCAGAUUCCAGUAUUGAGGUCAGCUACUUGAGCGAUGAACUUAAAGUCCUCGUCCUCGUAAUCCGUGACACCCAAAACAAGUAUCCUAUUCCCAUCGAGAGUGUUGAGCUUGGGAUGCAAAAACACCAGACGUCUCACGCGAUUAGGAACAACAACAUCGACUAAAUAGGGGUCGGUGAUGUCGUGCCUACACAAUACCAUAGGGGAUCGUCCAAUUCGCCAGCCCAGUAGAUGUCGCCACCCAUAACGGCCAGCCCCCACUUUGAUCUCCCCUAUCGUACAAUUUGCCAGCCCAGUAGAUAUCGUCACCCAUAACGGUCCAGCCCCCACCUCUUAACGUCCUAUUCAUUCCAAAUAAAGGUAGUAAAAGCUCUUGAUCAUCCCUCUCCGGCAACGAAUCUAAAUCAAUACAAUACCAAAUAUCCUUACCUCUAUUAUUACUACUGUCGCCGUGCAGUGGACAUAUAACUUCAAUGAUCGCCCCGAUAUUUGCUUUGCCGCCAUUGAAGAAUCAAUACUCUUCUACCUAGCUCUAGGGUUUUGGGAUUUUUGAGGAAUUGAAGCAGACAGCACCGCAAUGCUCUU